rnacentral:tRNA from 1 species
GAUAGCAAGGCCGAGCGGUCUAAGGCUCCGGAUUAAGGCGCCGGUGUCUUCGGAGGCAUGGGUUCGAAUUCCACCUCUGCCA